GUUGUUUUGUGAUUGGAGGCAGAGUACGGUGGGUCUGGUUGCCUUGCAGUGUUAUGUCAAAUUUGAUUAGAGGCCUCGUCUUUUUUGCUGCUAGAGCAGUAAAACAAAGACCAGACUAGAGAAGAAAGGAAAAAAGACAUCUUAAGUACCAUUGUAUUAUUUUUAAUCAGACAGCAGACAAGCUCCCGCAGUUGCUGGGAACGUAAGAUUCUAAAAAUUCUAAAAGUGGAACAUAGUGUUAGUCAUACCAUAGACUACUUAAGUAUUUGUGAAUAUGCUGCUGCUGUAUUCCAAACAUUACAAACAUCUACAGGGUCGGAUUUGUUCCUCUGCAAGUAUUUCGAAAUUAGAUUCCGUAUGCAGGCUGCAGUGUGACUCAUAUCCGGUCGGGGGGGCCUGGUGCCUAUCUCCAGUCGUCAUUGAGCGAGAGGCAGAGUACACCCUGGACAGGGCGCCAGUCCAACACAGGAUUUGUUUGGAUCGACUGCAUUGGAGGAAGCCAGGGUACCUGGAGAUAACCCAUACAUGCACAGGGAGAACACGCAAACGGCAUGCUGAAUAAGCCCAGGCCAGGAUUUGAACCCAGGACCUUCUUGUUGCAUUGCAGCAGUGCUAACAACUGUGCCACCGUGAAAGUCCAACAUGUUUAUGUCUGUUUAAUUAAUUUAUGAAAUGUUUAUUUUUAUUCUUAUUUAUUCUAUGCUUCUAAUAAUUCUGAUGUCUAACUAUAGUGUAUUAUCAUUAUUACUAACACAGUCAUGUUCUUUCAGUCCUUCAAAUCAAUGUCACCUCUGUCAACCUGCGUAGUUCUGUACAUUUUCUGUUUCUGUUCUAUGCUUAGUUUGUUUGUGUUUGUUUUAUCUUUUAUUGCCUCCUGUUUUUAUCCUAUGUAAACACUUUGUGGUGCUCUUUUCAUGUAUGAAAAAGGCUCUCUAAAUAAAAAUUGAAUGAUUGAUUAGUGUUAGAUGGAGGGUUAUAAGUAUUAUCACACU